ACAUCCUCAACUCCUCAUGGCUUGCCGUGAUGAGCUUUGGACUUUGGAGGUCUUUGCUGGCUUGUGGGUCAGCUCCUCUCAAAUGGAUCAGCUUACCAGUGUUCGGUGGCAUCACAGGUGUGAUAACUAUAUAUCUACGCUUGUGGCUUUCCGCUGGGUAACCUUCGUCACUGAAGGUUCACUGGGGCUCAUAAAUGUCUCUCCUCAGUGAAGACAGCUCUUUGAAC
rnacentral:misc_RNA from 1 species